rnacentral:lncRNA from 1 species
ACAUAUAAUAAUCUUAUUUAUGAUUUUAAGAUUUGAUCUUAUACAUGCUUAGAUUAAAUUAGAUUUAAUCUAAAAUUUUUAAAUUUCACUGCAUACUUGUUUUGAAAAAUUUUGCAUGUAUGAAAUCAUGAACUCUCACAACUUUUUCCGUAAGCAUACCCAUGUACCUUUCAGAAGGUCGGGAGACCUUGCUAGAUCAAAAAGGUGAUG